CCAUUUCAUUUCAUGCUUGUUCAUGGCCAAGUUUUUGUUGGAGACAAGCAAUCACCCACUUCUUCUCUGAUUACAGCGCAGACACUUUGUCCUGGCCGAGCUCGCUCAAAGAAGGUUUCGCCUGCUCCUCUUGCUCACCUCAGCCCUACUUAUAUCCAAGUCCUCGUGCAGGUUUUGUGAUAAUGGUCCUGCCUGCUCUUGUUCAAGUAAACCACACACCCACACGGUGCAAAAUGAAGAACAUAUAUGCUCUCGACAAUGAACAAAUAUGCUCUCCAGAAAGGACCAAUAAACGAAUAGCGUUCUUUUAUACUCGUGGUAAAUAUGGAAAACCCACUCAAAUAAGUUCAAAAUUUUCCCAGUACCCUUGUUUAUAUAACCAGGAGAGAGAGAACGAAGAUAGCCAGCAACAACUGAAAAUAACUCAACCAGAAAUGCUCAGCGAAAACAAACCAUACAAGCGAUCGAACACCAGU
rnacentral:lncRNA from 1 species